rnacentral:misc_RNA from 1 species
GAUGAAGAACGUAGCGAAAUGCGAUAAGUAGUGUGAAUUGCAGAAUUCAGUGAAUCAUCGAAUCUUUGAACGCACAUUGCGCCCUUUGGUAUUCCUUAGGGCAUGCCUGUUCGAGCGUCAUUUAAACCCUUCAAGCUCAGCUUGGUGUUGGGUGACUGUCCGCCGCCCCCGGGCGCGGACUCGCCCCAAAUUCAUUGGCGGCCGGUACGUAGGCUUCGAGCGCAGCAGAAACGCGAACUCGGGCCCGCGGUGUCGGCUCCCAGAAGCCAUCUCUUUUAUUUUGACCUCGGAUCAGGUAGGGAUACCCGCUGAACUUAAGCAUAUCAAUAGCGGAGGA